rnacentral:lncRNA from 1 species
CUUUUCCAUUUCAUUCCAUUCCAUUCCCUUCCAAUCCGUUCCAUUCCAUUCCUUCCAUUGCUUUCGGGUCCAUUCAAUUCAACUGUAUUCCAUUCGAGUCCAUUCCAUUACAUUUUAUUCCAUUCCAUUCCAUUCCAUUCCAGCACAUUUCAUUCCAUUACAUUCCUUUCGAGUCCAAUCCAUUCCAUUCCAUUCCUAUCGAGUCCAUUCAAUUCCAUUCCAUACCAUUCGAGUCCAUUCCAUUCCACUCCAUUCCAUUCCAUCCCAUUCCAUUCCAUUCGC